rnacentral:tRNA from 1 species
GGCUCAAUAGCUCAGUUGGUUAGAGCGCCAGCCUGUCACGCUGGAGGUCGAGGGUUCGAGCCCCUUUUGAGUCGCCA